rnacentral:rRNA from 1 species
AGUGAACGCUGGCGGUAGGCCUAACACAUGCAAGUCGAACGGCAGCACAGUAAGAGCUUGCUCUUACGGGUGGCGAGUGGCGGACGAGUGAGGAAUACAUCGGAAUCUACUUUUUCGUGGGGGAUAACGUAGGGAAACUUACGCUAAUACCGCAUACGACCUACGGGUGAAAGCAGGGGAUCUUCGGACCUUGCGCGAUUGAAUGAGCCGAUGUCGGAUUAGCUAGUUGGCGGGGUAAAGGCCCACCAAGGCGACGAUCCGUAGCUGGUCUGAGAGGAUGAUCAGCCACACUGGAACUGAGACACUGUCCAGACUCCUACGGGAGGCAGCAGUGGGGAAUAUUGGACAAUGGGCGCAAGCCUGAUCCAGCCAUACCGCGUGGGUGAAGAAGGCCUUCGGGUUGUAAAGCCCUUUUGUUGGGAAAGAAAAGCAGCAGGUUAAUACCCCGCUGUUCUGACGGUACCCAAAGAAUAAGCACCGGCUAACUUCGUG